AUCCACUCCCUGGCUUUUUUUUUUUUUUAUUUUUUUUAAUAAGAAACUUCUCUCAGUACCAUUUUAUGGUUAUCUUCCCAAUCUACCAUAGUUUCCUAACAUUGGACUUUUGUAAACUUGCUACUUGUUUACUUUGACCUGCAGGUUUAUCGGGUCCAUUGUCUAGUGUUUGAUGCCUCGACACAAAUAGGAUAGGAGCUGGGUUUUCUAAAGCGUUCUUCCAAAACCAUCUCUGUUUCUUCAUUAGUGAAAAUUUGUCAGAAGGAAUGUUGUGACUGGCCUUGUAGGAAGCAGAUACCUGGAGGACCAUUCUCUUAUUUUCUCAGUUGUCUGUUCAUUGUGGCAUUGGUUGGCAGUGAAUCUACUCAACCUUCAUGUCAUUAGCAACCAGCCACCCAGGUAACAUCAUGCCCAGCAGAAUUAAAUUACUACAAGGACUGUCAUGCAGUAGUUUUUUGUCUUUCAAAGAGUGUGAGAGGACUGGUAAUACACACCAUCUACUUGGAAGGUAUCCUCUCUUUGAAUUAUCACAAGUAAGGAGACACUAGGUAGGGAUCUGCUAUGGGUUUAUCUGAACACUUGACCCCCAACCACUGCCUAUCACAAUCAAUUUCUGUAGUCCACAGCUGAUCUUCUGUACUUAAGACAGGCAUUGACUCCAUUAAGUUGUAAACUUAACCGUAGCUAUGUAUUAGAAUCCCUGAGGAACUUUUUUUUUUUUU